CUUACUCUUGUAGCACUCGGGGUGAACUCACUUCCGUCCUCUACUCGUAUCUUCGAAUAGCAUAACAUCGGAGAUAGUUCAGGAUAAGAAUAAAAGGAAUCGGUCAGAAACUUCCUUACCAAGGAUACCAUUCCUAUCUUAGUACUAUUCCGUCUCUCCUCAUUAAUACACUCCGACUAUCUCAAUCUAAUAAGCAUAAACGCUACUUAAUUAAUCGCCAAUCCUACUCUCAGCUUAACACUCACAUAGAACUAAACCACAUCAACAAACAAACACACAAAUAUACAUACACAGAAAGUCAUAUAAUCUCACAUUAGUACAUAGAAGAAUUAAUAAAGUUCAUUCACAUCUUAGCAAUCUUAUUUAUAAACCUUUUGUAAAAAUCGGAAAAUAUUUUUAGUUGGGGAAAAAUUCGCAAAAAUUUAGUUUACAAAGUCAAGGACACAUAACAACAUAUUCUUAAACCAAUUAUUGAAAAAUAAUUCACAUAAACAAGUAAUCCCAUUUUAUAACAUUCUUGACAAACUAAAUGCUGGACUUCUUCAUCGGAAAAUUCUUGAUAAUUCACAUUAGGCUCACAUAAUACAAAAGAGCAUGAAUACAUAGUCAUACGACUAAAGAAAAAUCAACAUCAACUUUCCCUUCUUUAGCAUGCAUUCGGUCACUUCUCAACCUUUGAGGGGACAGUUCGUUUCGUCUCAUAUCGCAUAUAUACUCAGUUUAUCGUCACUUAGCCACAUAUGGACACAUUCAUCACAUAACUCAUCAUAUAGGGAAGAUCCUUUACAUACGCGCAAACUAAACUCGGGGAACUUUCACAAUUCAACAUCAUUACUCAAAUAAAUUAUGCUAUAAUUCUUUAUAAAUCCCAAUUAGCAUAUAAACACUCUUAAUUCAAAUAUUGACCUUAUAAAAUAAAAGUACCCAAAUUCUAACAAACAAAACUCAAGAAAGUUUACACAUAAUCAACAAUUAACCAAAUUGAUCAUUAAUAAUUAGUCUCAUCAUGCUUUUAAUCCAUUAUUCAUGGCCAAUUUAAGCAUUUAAUAUAUAAAUCACAAAGUCCCAAUUUUAGCAAACUAACUUUUUUGAAUAUCUUUAAUCAUGCUUAAAUCACCAAUCAAACUUUAAAAUUAUCAAAUUAGAUCACUUAAUUACACAAAUAACUCAUCAAUUAACAAAUUGAAGCAUAGAAGCAAAUAUACCUAAUUAUCCUCAAACUAACUCGCAUCCAAACUCAUCAAUCCAUCUCAAUCAUCAAUCUAAUCCAUCAAACAUCACAUUAGCAACCUCAUAAGCUCAUAUCAAUCAUCAACUCAUCAUUAAAUCCUCAAAUUCAAAAAUUCCCAAUUUUCACCUAAACUAACCUAUUCAAAAUUCACAUAUCAAUUUAAAUCCAUUCUUUGCAUAUAAAAAAUUACUAAAUAGGAUCCCAAUAGCAUAAAUAUGAUCUCAAUUUAAGAAAAGAAAAAAAAUUGAAGGGUAAGAACCCUAAUUUUCAAAAAUUUGCAAGAAAUAAUAAGGUGGUGAUUUCUUGUUAGAUCUAUCCAUAUACACACAUAUACAACUCAAACAUUACUAGAUCUAAGUAGAUCUAAUACUUACUCAAUGAUUUGAUGAAAAUAUAGAAACUUUCUUGAUUAAAUCUUGAAACUCCUUUGAAACUUGCUCUUGAUUCAAAGGAUAUGAAGUUUAGGCAUGGUUUUAGUGAAGAUUAUGGUGUAGGAAUGAUCUUAGAAGCUUGGAAAUUGCUCAACAAUGGUGAUAGUGAGAGAAAGAAGUGAGGGAGAAGAAAGAGUGAGAGAGGGCGUGAGAAAUGGGGGAGCGAGGAGAGAGAAAUGUGUUUUGUUUAAUCUCAUAUACUUGGUCUCCAAGUAAUUCUCUUAAUAUUUAAUUAGAAAGCUUAUCUAAGCUCCCACUUGGCCACUUGCACUAUUAACCAUAGGUUAAGAGUAAUAAUUAGUGUAAAUGAUAAAAUUUGCUUAGUAAAAAGUGUAGUAAAUGUGUAGUGCAAAUUUGAUUUAAUAAAUCACUCACUAAUUAAAUCAAAAC
rnacentral:lncRNA from 1 species